ACGAACGCUGGCGGCAGGCUUAACACAUGCAAGUCGAGCGGUAUAAUCCUUUCGGGAAUUAGAGAGCGGCGCACGGGUGCGGAACACGUGUGCAACCUGCCUUUAUCUGGGGGAUAGCCUUCCGAAAGGGAGAUUAAUACCCCAUAAUCUAUUGACUGGCAUCAGUUAAUAUUGAAAACUCCGGUGGAUAGAGAUGGGCACGCGCAAGAUUAGAUAGUUGGUGAGGUAACGGCUCACCAGGUCAGUGAGCUUUAGGGGGCCUGAGAGGGUGAUCCCCCACACGGGGACUGAGACAAGGACCAGACUACUACGGGAGGCAGCAGUGAGGAAGAUUGGACAAUGGGUGAGAGCCUGAUCCAGCCAUCCCGCGUGAAGGACGACGGCCCUAUGGGUUGUAAACUUCUUUUGUACAGGGAUAAACCUAGAUACGUGUAUCUAGCUGAAGGUACUGUACGAAUAAGCACCGGCUAACUCCGUGCCAGCCGCCGCCGUAACAC
rnacentral:rRNA from 1 species